rnacentral:rRNA from 1 species
AAUUCUAAGUACAAAGUUGCUGAAAUAUUGGCCGAGUGUUGGAGCAGGCUGAAGUCAAGUCGAGUCUUGGCUGCCGCGCGGGCUGUUUUCUGUGACAUAAAACGUGCCCGUGACACCUACCAUGGUGGUGACAGGUGACGGAGAAUUAGGGUUCGAUUCUGGAGAGGUAGCUUGAGAAACGGCAACCACAUCCAAGGAAGGCA